GGACUACAGGGGUAUCUAAUCCCGUUCGCUCCCCCAGCUUUCGCGCCUCAGCGUCAAGUCUGCCCCAGGAGACCGCCUUCGCCACAGGUGUUCCUACCGAUAUCUACGCAUUUCACCGCUACACCGGUAAUUCCAUCUCCCCCUAGCAGCUUCAAGAGAAAAAGUAUCUACCGACCCUCCGGAGUUGAGCUCCGGGCUUUCACAGUAGACUUUCUUCCCCGCCUACGCGCGCUUUACGCCCAGUAACUUCGGACAACGCUCGCCCCCUACGUAUUACCGCGGCUGCUGGCAC
rnacentral:rRNA from 1 species